rnacentral:rRNA from 1 species
UACGAAGGGGGCUAGCGUUGCUCGGAAUCACUGGGCGUAAAGCGCACGUAGGCGGUUUGCUAAGUCAGGGGUGAAAUCCUGGAGCUCAACUCCAGAACUGCCUUUGAUACUGGCGAUCUCGAGUCCGGGAGAGGUGAGUGGAACUGCGAGUGUAGAGGUGAAAUUCGUAGAUAUUCGCAAGAACACCAGUGGCGAAGGCGGCUCACUGGCCCGGUACUGACGCUGAGGUGCGAAAGCGUGGGGAGCAAACAGG